AAAUAAUUAAAAUCAUUGCAAAACAAAAUUAUCUUUGGGAUUUGCUUUUAGCAAGAACAGGAAACAAAAGAAAUAAUAGAAAAUCGAUUUGGUUUCAUGCCCUGGCUAUCCUCAAUAGAGUUGGAUGCUUCAUGGAAUGUGUAAAACAGGGAGCAAUCAGACAAGUCUGAACAGUUAAUGAGAGGGAAUCAACCUACACGUAACUAGAAUUAUACCACAUGGCUUUAUCUACUCCUUGUGGAGAGGAAGCAUGCAUUGAGCUGGUGCUAACCUAUUCAUGUUGAGCUGUUGUAAUGGGUUUGUUUGCUGAGAGCUGCAUACAUGUCAGGCACUGAGCUAGGAAUUGGUCACUGCUAAGCAACAGGAGGUGGAGGGGCUGCGAUUCCCUUGACUGCAGUCACAUAGAAGAUGAGGUUAAGAACAGGCACACUGCCUACUUCAUAUAAGGUAAAAAUGGCUGAGCAAGGAGUUAGGACAUAAGCAGCAUUUUAAAAUCCCACCCUUUAACAGUAAUUCACAACUAAGUCAUGACGAGGCUGAAUAAUUAUAAUCUCCUCUCUGCUCAUUGUCCCGAUUUUUCCUCUUUCUUUCUCGUCUCAGGCCAUUCCAAUUUAUGUAAACGUCCGAGUAUUCUACGUUUCCUGCAACUGGAUGCCACCUAAUAGGGGGGAUAAGGAGCCGCAAGAACAGCAGAACCCGCCUCACGGUCUGAUCAGCAGAGCUGCUGGGUAGAUGUCUGAAUUCUUUCACUGAAUGGAUACGGCUCUCCCUGAACACGCAUCUCCUGAAGGCUGCACAGUAGCCAAGGGGAUUCUUCAACUCAUGCCACCAGUCUGGUUUCACCAGCAAUAAAAGGCACAGAAAUUAUGAAUUUCUUAGCUGGUGACUGAGAUUCUUCAAGAGGUGUGUCUUACUCCAGGACUUUUAAAUACUAAUCUGCUGCAUAUGACAACUGAAAUCCCGGUGAUGAGACUGCCAAGCCCUGUAUUGAUGUGCUCUGGGCAGGAAACAUGCAUUCCCAGGUCACCAGUUCCAGGAAGUCCAAACAAGAUACUUAAUCCUUACUGCCAUGAAUUUCAGUGUGAAGGAAUUUGUACCAAUAUCAAGUUCUUCAUGAUUUCCUGGGCAAGAAGGGAGCUCCUCCUACUUCAUCUAAUCACCAGCUUACAGCUCAAGGAGCUUAUGGUUUGCUAAAAAGAUUGUUUUCUGAUUCCUACAUGCUGGACCCAUCAGUGUGAAUGGCAAACAGCCCACAAGCAAGGUGGCAGGUCAUCAGCAGUCUGGCGUAGGUGCGAGGAAAACACUCCAUGAGCCAAGCUGAUAAAACUACCGAAGCCUCCAGGUCAUGCCAUUGCACAAUAGCAACCUGGCCUCCUUGCAACCCUCUCGGCAGCCUCUUGUGGCUAUUAAUAGUCAGAAAUUAAUACAAAAAUGCAAAAGCAACGCCAAACAAGGAACCUAAGAAUUGAGGCUAGCAUAAAUAUGUUUUGACUGGAGGAAAAAUAACUAUGAGGGCCCAUAAAUAUUAUUUUGAUCUCCUAUUGUCAUGGAUUGUUUUUCUUUGAAGGAUCCUUCAUAUAUAACCUCUCAUUCUACAAAUAAAAACAAACAGAAAAAAAUCCA
rnacentral:lncRNA from 1 species